AGAGGGAUAGCUGGGUCAAAUGAUGGUUCCAUUCCAAGUUUUCCAAGCAUUCUCCGUACUGUUUUCCAAAUUGGCUGCAUCAAUUUGCAGUCCCAUCAGCAAU
rnacentral:pre_miRNA from 1 species